CCAGCAGCUGCGGUAAUUCCAGCUCUAAUAGCGUAUAUUAAAGUUGUUGCAGUUAAAAAGCUCGUAGUUGGAUUUCAGGGUUUCAGGUGGAGCCCGGUCUGCCGGGAAGGUGUGUACUGGCUCCGCCGCCCUUCCUUCCGGUCAGCGCCGGGGUGCACUUAACUGGGUGCCUCGGAAAGCUCCGGAUCGUUUACUUUGAAAAAAUUAGAGUGUUUAAAGCAGGCAAUUUCAGCCUUGAAUACAUUAGCAUGGGAUAAUAGAAUAGGACUUUGCGCUUAUUUUGUUGGUUUCUAAGCGAUAGAGUAAUGAUUAAUAGAGAUAGUUGGGGGUAUUCAUAUUUCGUUGUCAGAGGUGAAAUUCUUGGAUUUAUGAAAGAUGAACUUAUGAGAAAGCAUUUAUCAAGGAUGUUUUCAUUAAUCACG
rnacentral:rRNA from 1 species